GUAUUUCUGUGUUGCAUAUGGGCUGGGGUCCCUCCUGUCCUUCUCUCCUACACGAUCCCAGAUCUGAUUUCUAAUGGUGUUGUAUUUCCUCCCUAAAUCAUUUUUCAAUAGUAUUUUUGUUCUUCUGUGGGAUACAGAAGAACUUUUUUUUCCUAUUGCAAUAAGGACAAGUAAACAAGUCAGAAGCCUCAGAAGACCUCAAGAGAGAAAUCACAGCCUUCAAUUCCUGGUCCCUUUCUGAAACCUCAGCUCUUGAUUCACUUAAUUUCAAGGAGAAUUGUUUUAUGACUACGCCAAGCUGACCCAAAGACCCCUGGGAAGCACGUGGCCCAUCAGAGGGAAGGGCUAGGCCCUGGGGCUGGAAAGGAUGCAGAGCCUGUUUUCAACAAUUACGUCUACAUUUUCCAAGAGAUUAAACCGAUUGGAAGCCAAGCAUUGGAGAAGAGAUCUUUUGUCUUCCUUGGCAACAUUUCUGAAAUCUACAGAUAGGGAUGAGGAAGUGAGGCACAUUUUUCAUCUGUUCCAACAAACUGCCAAUGGAAUGGCUGACAUGCCAUUUUAGUGUAUGUCAUCUCUCCCGUGUUCCGUCAUCACUGAGGGUCAGCUGGGCCCUGCCCUUGAAUACAGCACAGGGCUGGUGUCAUGGAGCCGGCCUUCCUUACACUAAUGAACCGCAGGAGCCUCCCCUUGUCCCUUGCCUGGGGGGAACUAAUGGCAUUGCAGGGCAAAGGCUCAGCAGGGACCCUGUAGAUAGAGGAUAGAUCGGCACCCAGGCGUCUUACAGGGUGGACCCCAUGCUGGCAGGGUGGGAAGCCAGAGAAAAGAGGCUUGGAAGAAGCAAAGGGAACUCUCAAGAGGGUGCAGAGAUGAACGUGGCUUGCACCUGGAGAAUUCCCAGCCAAUGUGAGCUUGACGCCCCUCUCCUUUCCACCAAUCAGAUGGCACUACCACCUCCUCCUAAUUCCUCUACCAAUGAAAACUAGGUUCCUUUACCUUAUCCACCAAUCAGGGCUUUGGACAAAGAAUAAUCUUAUCAAACCCCACAUGGAUUCACACGCAUCUGGUAGCUUGGUUGUUGGUAAGUCUCUGCAUGGCAAGCUGGGUCUCCAAGUCUUUAUUGUUAUGCUUCUAUCGUUUGGAGGCAGAAGGGGAGAUGGGAGAGCUAAAAGCCCAGGUCCCUUUCUUCCCUGAAAACCCUGAAAAAAGUUUCUGCCUAUGUGAAAAAGAAGGGGUUUAGUGGACAGUCAUCAUAAGCCAACAGUGAUAUGUGGGCGUCAUGCUAAUGCCGUGGCUUAGGCUGCACUGAUACACAUUUAUCAAACCAAUACAUUGCCAACGGAAUGGCUGACACGCCGCUUUAAUGUAUGUCAUCUCUGUGUUCGGUGAGCGCAGUGAUGUCCUUCAAGGAAGGACUUGUUGCCUUGGCUGCUGCGCUGCCAUGAGCGGGGCUCUGACUAUGGUGAGAUUAGCUGGUGACCUCGCACCCGUCAUACCAGUUGGGCUGUAAUGACUCCUAGAGACAGUCGCUCAAGAUAGCUCUGUGUGUUUGUUUCAUAAAUAAGCUCCAUGGCAAAUUCGCAUUGUUUUUCCCCAAAUAAGCAAUUCCGAAGGCUGGGCCUUCACUGAGAGCUUGCAUCUCUGCAUAAACUGCCUCUGGGCUUUGGGACCUGCUUUAGCUUCCAGGAGCUGCUCUUCAAGACCACAUUCCUCCCCAGAGCAGCCCUGUCAACAUCCAGGGACAGAUGAAAGCCCGAGUAUGAAGACCUGACCAUCUCCCCCGAAAUCAGGAAACUCUGAAGAGCAUUCUAGCUCCAAAGAUUCCUGUGGGUUGGCUGGGGCUGUCCUUGGACCUGUAGUACAGCCCAGGUCCUCCCACUGCCCACACCCGCUCUUGCCUCCUCUCUUACACAGGUGUUGGUCUGAGGGCACUUGUACAGGCUAAACUCCAUCUGAGUCCGCUUCCCAGGAAAACCAGCCUGCAGGGAAACCAUGCCAGUUCUCUGUGCUACUUGCAUCUCCCUUGCAGAGCUGCCUUCAGAAUCUGGACAAAGAUUUUGGUCAAUUUAUAAAGUUUAUUUUAUUUAUUUAUUUAUUUUUUGAAAUGGAAUCUCACUCUGUCGCCCAGGCUGGAGUACAGUGACGCGAUCUUGGCUCUCUGCAGCCUGCGCCUCCAGAGUUCAGGUGAUUCUCGUGCCUCAGCUUCCCCAGUAGCUGGCACUACAGGCACGUGCCACCACACCCAGCUAAUUUUUCUUCUUUUUGUAUUUUUAGUAGGGAUGGGGUUUCACCAUGUUGGCCAGGCUGGUCUCUAACUCCUGACCUCAAGUGACCUGCCCGCUUUGGCCUCCCAAAGUGCUGGGAUUACAGGCGUGAGCCACCACGCCCAGCCUAAUUUAUAAAGUUUCUGUUUGUCACAGCUGGCUGAAAUGUGAUAGACAUCUUCUGAAGGUGAGGUCAUCUUCUAAGGAAGAUGUUCAAAGGAAAACUGACUAUUGGAAAGAUAAGGGAUGGGUGAGGGGUGAAAUCAGGAAUCUUGCGGGCAGAUGGACGAGAUGCCCUCUGUCAGACCUCUGAGGCCAAGCUAAGCCGUCAUAUCCCCUGUGACCCUCACGUAUACAUCCAGAUGGCCUGAAGCAACUGAAGAUCCACAGAAUAAGUGAAAAUAGCCACUUAUUAGUUCCUGCCUCAACUGAUGACAUUCCACCAUUGUGACUUGUUCCUGCCCCACCCUAACUGAUCAAUUGACUUUGUGACAUUCCUUCUCCUGGACAAUGAAUCUCAGGAGCUCCCCACCAGCACCUUGUGACCCCCGCCCCUGCCCGCAAGAGAACACCCCCUUUCACUGUAAUUUUCCACGACCUGCCCGAAUCCUAUAAAACUGCCUCACCCCGAUCUCCCUUUGCUGACUCCUUUUACGGACUCAGUCUGCCUGCAUCCAGGUGAUUAAAAGCUUUAUUGCUCACACGAA
ensembl:lncRNA novel transcript